AGAACGAACGCUGGCGGCAUGCCUAACACAUGCAAGUCGAACGAGACCUUCGGGUCUAGUGGCGCACGGGUGCGUAACGCGUGGGAAUCUGCCCUUCGGUUCGGAAUAACAGUUAGAAAUGACUGCUAAUACCGGAUAAUGACGUAAGUCCAAAGAUUUAUCGCCGAGGGAUGAGCCCGCGUAGGAUUAGCUUGUUGGUGGGGUAAUGGCCCACCAAGGCGACGAUCCUUAGCUGGUCUGAGAGGAUGAUCAGCCACACUGGGACUGAGACACGGCCCAGACUCCUACGGGAGGCAGCAGUGGGGAAUAUUGGACAAUGGGCGAAAGCCUGAUCCAGCAAUGCCGCGUGAGUGAUGAAGGCCUUAGGGUUGUAAAGCUCUUUUACCAGGGAUGAUAAUGACAGUACCUGGAGAAUAAGCUCCGGCUAACUCCGCGCCAGCAGCCGC
rnacentral:rRNA from 1 species